UCGGCACCGGCGCACGGGUGAGUAACACGUAUGCAACCUGCCCGUCUCAGGGGGAUAAUCGUCGGAAACGGCGUCUAAUACCCCGUAUGAAGCUGGACGGCAUCGUCUGGUUUUGAAAGAAUAUCGGAGACGGAUGGGCAUGCGGCGCAUUAGCUAGUUGGCGGGGUAACGGCCCACCAAGGCGACGAUGCGUAGGGGUUCUGAGAGGAAGGUCCCCCACACUGGUACUGAGACACGGACCAGACUCCUACGGGAGGCAGCAG
rnacentral:rRNA from 1 species